ACACUCCUACGGGAGGCAGCAGUGGGGAAUAUUGGACAAUGGGCGCAAGCCUGAUCCAGCCAUGCCGCGUGAGUGAUGAAGGCCCUAGGGUUGUAAAGCUCUUUCACCGGUGAAGAUAAUGACGGUAACCGGAGAAGAAGCCUCGGCUAACUUCGUGCCAGCAGCCGCGGUAAUACGAAGGGGGCUAGCGUUGUUCGGAUUUACUGGGCGUAAAGCGCACGUAGGCGGACUAUUAAGUCAGGGGUGAAAUCCCGGGGCUCAACCCCGGAACUGCCUUUGAUACUGGUAGUCUUGAGUUCGAGAGAGGUGAGUGGAAUUCCGAGUGUAGAGGUGAAAUUCGUAGAUAUUCGGAGGAACACCAGUGGCGAAGGCGGCUCACUGGCUCGAUACUGACGCUGAGGUGCGAAAGCGUGGGGAGCAAACAGGAUUAGAUACCCGUGUAGUCCC
rnacentral:rRNA from 1 species